GUCGUGAGAUGUUGGGUUAAGUCCCGCAACGAGCGCAACCCUUGUCCCUAGUUGCUACGCAAGGGCACUCUAGGGAGACUGCCGGUGACAAACCGGAGGAAGGUGGGGAUGACGUCAAGUCCUCAUGGCCCUUAUGGGUAGGGCUUCACACGUCAUACAAUGGCCGGUACAGAGGGUUGCCAAAGCGCGAGCUGGAGCCAAUCCCUUGAAAGCCGGUCGUAGUCCGGAUUGCAGUCUGCAACUCGACUGCAUGAAGUCGGAAUCGCUAGUAAUCGCGGAUCAGCAUGCCGCGGUGAAUACGUUCCCGGGUCUUGUACACACCGCCCGUCACACCAUGGGAGUGGGGUGAACCAGAAGUAGGUAGGCUAACCGCAAGGGGGCCGCUUACCACGGUCUGCUUCAUGACUGGGGUGAAGUCGUAACAAGGUAGCCGUAUCGGAAGGUGCGGCUGGAUCACCUCCUUUCUCGGCAUCGCGCAUAAGCUAUGUGCGUCGCCAGGUCGUAGUGCCCACGCCUAUCGGUUGCUAGUGAUGCGAGCUUGAGACAAGCGGGCCUGUAGCUCAGUUGGUUAGAGCACCGUCUUGAUAAGGCGGGGGUCGAUGGUUCGAAUCCAUCCAGACCCACCAGUCAGGUAUCAGAGGUCAGGCAUCAGGCAUCAGUACGGGAACGGCCCGGCGAGCGGUGUUUGCUGAUCCCUGAUCCCUGAUUCCUGAUACCUGACCUCUGACGGGGGCUGUAGCUCAAUUGGGAGAGCGCCUGCUUUGCAAGCAGGAGGUCGUCGGUUCGAUCCCGUCCAGCUCCACCACGUUGCGGUGCAAGGAGAGCAGAAGAAGAGACCUUGCGUGAAACACGGCUCGCGCGUCGAGCGCACAUCAAGAGUCCAUAACCAAGCAGCGCCAGGAUGGCGCGGUUUGGUUCUGGCUUCUUGGCCAGCAUCGGUUGCUCUUUAACAAUCCGGAAGAAGUAAAGCGAAAUCUCGCUCGAGACAAUGAGUGCGGGAGGGUGGUGUUCAGCCUGCCUGUGCGAGUUCUCUCCUCGAGUGAGAUUUGGGUUUGAUUGUAUCGAUCUCUGCUCUUUCUAGUCGGGAGGGCAGGGACUACGCAAACACCUUUGAUGGUUGGUGCUGCUGUGUCAGGGCAGUGCCGAGCGUUAUGGGGUCAAGCGACUAAGUGCAUGUGGUGGAUGCCUUGGCGAUCACAGGCGAUGAAGGACGUGGCAGCCUGCGAAAAGCUGCGGGGAGCUGGCAAACGAGCAUUGAUCCGCAGAUGU
rnacentral:sRNA from 1 species